GCUUAACCCCUUAAGGACACAUGACAUGUGUGACAUGACAUGAUUCCCUUUUAUUCCAGAAGUUUGGUCCUUAAGGGCUUAAGGACAGUCAGGUUUUACAGGUAACUCAGUAGUGACUGCGACCCAAAAAGCCUCUAAAGGUGUUCAGUCAUUCUAUGGAUACCAAACGAACAAUGCAGUGUCUCAGCCAUCCAUAAUGACAUUUGGAGUCUCGUUUAACUCACUGCCACUGCCCUAUUGAGAUCCAGCACAUUGUCAAAGUAUUUGGACAUGAACAAGACACUAUAGAAUACAAAUAUAACAGGAAAUAUGUUCAGGCAUUCAUCUUAGAAAUGGACAUGUCAUAUGAGUCUCAGAAAAUCACAGUUCUUUGAAAUAUAUUGAUCUCCUCAAUGGUUCUAUGUCAGUUUUGAACUUUGCACAUUUCUACUGGACGCCAUACCAUGCUUGGAUGAUUUAGUGCAACCCACCAAAAGACUUCACUGUUAAACAGUGUGACGAAUGUCUCUCGAAGGCUUGGACGGAAUCUAGUUCUAAUUCUGUAACUGCUUCUAACAUACACUUCUAUUGAACCUCAACGUGGAACUUGUUGGGAUCUAUUACAAAGGUAUUCUUUUAUUACAAAAAAAAUAAAAAGUAAAUAAAAUGAAUGUUCCCAUGAGA